UUCCCUGUGGCACAAUGGAUCAAUGUGUCUGGCUGUUAACCAGGAGGUUGGUGGUUCUAGCCCACCAAGGGCAA